rnacentral:lncRNA from 1 species
AAUUAUAUCAACAUACUAUGUGAGAUUUAUAGAUCCAUACUCGUCUGUCAUGAACAGUAUAAAAAAUGUUUAGCUGGACCUUCAAUUCAUGUAUUGUAAGUUACAUAAGGUGCAUCAUAAAGGUACGUCACACAAGCACAAGAGCUGUUUGGGGAACAAAACCUUGCCAAUCGUUCUAUAAGUUGGUUAAACACCUUGAACGUCAGCGUUCUCGGUGUUUAACCUAAUACUUAGUCAACUAAUGGAUUGAGUGGAUAUUUUUACCUACUGAGACCAUACCAAUAUCUUCCAUGGCCGAUUUCAUUUCUUCAUUCAGUUCUCUCAUUUUCUUAUCAGUCAGACUAUGGUACUUAACAACCCAAACAGGAACGGCGUAAGGCUUGAAAUUGCGUUUCUCUUCACUGAGCAUAAAUAUUAAAAUGUGCGAAGC